rnacentral:ncRNA from 1 species
UAUGACCUCAAAAUAACAGGGGUCAAGGUCGGCUAGUGAGAUGAUGGGGAAUAAGCUUCAUCAUCGAGAGGGAAAUAGCUCGGAUCACCAGCUAAGGCCCCUAAAUGAUCGCUCAGUGAUAAAGGAGGUAGGGAUGCAGAGAUNAGGUUUGCCUAGAAGCAGCCACCCUUGAAAGAGUGCGUAAUAGCUCACUGAUCGAGCGCUCUUGCGCCGAAGAUGAACGGGGCUAAGCGAUCUGCUGAAGCUGUGGGAUGUAAAAAUACAUCGGUAGGGGAGCAUUCCACCUUAGAGAGAAGCCUCCGCGCUAGCGUUGGUGGAUGAAGCAGAAGCG